AGGAGGUGUUUUAACUUGAAGUGUGUGAGCAGGAAGACUUGCAUAACAAGGAUAUAGUCUUUUAGGGUCUGGGGGUUUUUGGGGAGUUUUUGUUUAGAUUCUUUUUUAUCACUGUUGUUUUGUUUUGUUUUGUUUUUCUAAUGUUCUUAGUGCUUUGCUGACCUAGAAACUAAUUCAAGGGACUAACAAAACUGAAUAGCCUUGUGCAACGAACCGGACUUGCGUAAACUCAUUUCACACAAGAAAGCAUCGAAGAUUGUACGUUUGCUCCUGUAUACAUCCCAUGAUGAGUUGCAAGCACUUAUUUCUCUAUCAGCAAAGAAAGAGGAACGAGUUGACUUGACCUUAUAACAUGGGAAUCCUGAAAUCUAAUGGACUGAUGCACAACAGCUCUCCAAAGUCCUGCUUGAGAUGAGUAAACAGCUGUCUGGAUAUAUCUCCUGAGGUCUUUCUCUGUUCCUCCUUGCAAAAAGCACGUGUAUACUAAGAUCAGAAUUUCUAAGUGGCUGGAGAACCUAAUGGAACUUAGACAUUUAUCUUUAGUCAUUAGGAAUGGGGAAUCUCUUAUUUCUUGAAAAAACACCACAUUACUAUAAGACCUUGAUGAAAUCAAACAUGGAGUUCCCAGCACAGGAAGGACAUUGACCUGUUGGAAUGAGACCAGCGGCCACAAAGGGAAACAUGGAAAAAUGCAGAACGGAUCAAGCAGGAGACUUCCUUGGCCUUUUGGAACAUGCCCAGCUACUGAAGGCACUGGCUUAUACUAUGUGGCAUAGCUGGCAUGAAGAAAUAUUUACAGUUUAUGCAGCAAAGAAGACAAUCACCCAUGGCCUCCUGCUGCUCUGAAUGUACAGCUAGCCAUGCUUCAGUACAGUACACUCCUGUAUUCCCACUAACGUACGGGACAAAACAAAGAACAAACCCAUUGGAACAGCAGCAAGAAUCUCUUCAGUAGCUGAGAUCUCUUAAUUUGUGAGUAGAAAGUGCAGAGAAACAAAUAUCACAAGAAUGGAACUAAGACAAGAUAGACCUAUUUACAUUUAAUUGGACUUUGUAGACUUCCGUGGCCUGAUCACAGUGACAUGGUGUGUAAACAAUAAAAUUUCACUGGAUUAAAAGGAGGAUCUCUUCUAUCUGGGGUUAGCCAGCAAAAGGUCUGAAAUCACCAGAUUGUACCACUAUUUAUUGGGAAAAUUCUUAUUCUAAACAUCUGAGUUUAUCCCUUCAGGCACAGUUAGGCCAUAUGUAGUCAUAGCAUUUCUAAUUUUGCUUGGAGCAUAAAUAUGAGGCUCAAAAAUUGAAAGAGAGUUCUUAUACUUCCUUAAAAAUUAUGUUUUAGCAUAUAAUGAGCAAGUGUUCCCAUGUAUGACCAUUAGGUACUUAUUUCCUCUGAAAGCCAAUGGUCAUGGAUUUUCUUAUCAUAAAAUGUGUACUUUCAUUUCUGCUCUUGCUCUUUGUAUUCACCUCUCCAUUGUUAAACAAUUAAGUAGUAGAAGCUGUUAAUAUUAUGUUAAAAAAUUCAUCCUAUUUCACGGGUUUUUUCCAGUCUUGUUACACUAUUUUCAUGUGAAAACAUGGAUGAAAACACUUAGCAAAACAAAAGACAUGCAAAAUAUCAGAAGUAGGACAUUUGUAGAUAAUCUUCGAAACCAAUUGCCAUAUGAAUUAAAGAAUUAAAACCACCAACACGUUGUAGCUUCUAAGAGUUUUUUUCUUGUAUAUAUAUGGACAUUUGUUCUGCUUUAAAGGAUGUAUGUGUAUGAAGCAUUUCUCAAUGAAAAGCAUCAAAAUCAUCCAUGAAAGGUCACUCUGAGCUCUCUUAAAUGCAUGGUAUCAUCUGCUACAUGAAAUUAGGAAAGCUAGAAGAAUAAGCCGUUUCCUUUAAUGGGAAAAAUUGGCAAUUUCUCCAACAAAUAGCUCUGCAUGAUGGCAGUAGAGCUCAGAGAGGGGGGAAAAUUGAGGGGAAUUACACUGCAGAACCAACAUCUUCUCCAACUCCUAUGGAAAAGAGCUAUUCAUUAGACCAGUUAUUCUCACUGGGUCUGAUGUGUAUAUCCAUGCCAAGGAUUUUUUUUUUCCUUCAGAUUUAGGUAACAGGAGAAUUGUUUAUGAUUUAUAAGCCUUUACUUGGUAUUACUGUCCUUUUUUUUUUUCUUUAAGGGACACUUACUACAUUGUAAAGGUAGUGUAGCAAGCAGUAUAUGUGGUUUAUAGCUGAAAAAAAAUAUUGUGCUCUUAGUUUGUUCUUUGAUGUUCAAAAAGCUACUUAAAAAUAUCAGUAUUGUUCUGAAAAAUAUGUUUAAUAAAUUAUUGGGUGUUCACAUAAUGUAUGACAAUAAUGCUGUAUAUUCACAUGUAAAGCAAAAGGCUUUUCAUCAGGAUAUUAGUAGACAUCAUGCAAUGAUAACAGCAGGUGUUCUCUUCCUCCGGCCCAAAAUUUGAUUAUGUUUAUGGCCUCUCAUACCUACAGAUCUCCAGAUGUGACCAAAAAAUACGAAUUCUCUUUCUGGCCAUUAUCUGUUUAGGCAACGCUAAAAGCUCUUGGCUUUUCCUAUUCCAGCAAUUCUGAGUUAACUAGACCUCCUGGCCCAAGCAAAAUACCAUCUCUGGAUUUAUCAGUUGGAAGAGGAAUCUCAGAACAUCUUGAUGUAGCUGUUCUAGGAAAGGAACUGCACAAUGUAUCAUGAUCA